rnacentral:rRNA from 1 species
CAGGUGCAUGCCUCUAGCAUGACAUGAAGUCAGACAAGUGAACCCGCUGAAUUUAAGCAUAUCAAUAAGCGGAGG